CUUCCGUAGGGUGAACCUGCGGAAGGAUCAUUAUUGAUUGGUCGAAAGACCUUAUCAGAUUCUACCACCUCUGUGAACCGUUGACCUCCGGGUUAAUAAUCAAACAUCAGUGUAACGAACGUAAGAGUAUCUUAAUUAAACAAAACUUUUAACAACGGAUCUCUUGGCUCUCGCAUCGAUGAAGAACGCAGCGAAAUGCGAUAAGUAAUGUGAAUUGCAGAAUUCAGUGAAUCAUCGAAUCUUUGAACGCACCUUGCGCCUUUUGGUAUUCCGAAAGGCAUGCCUGUUUCAGUGUCAUGAAAUCUCAAUCUAAUAUGUUUUCUGAACAUGUUAGGCUUGGACUUGGGUGUCUGCCAGCAAUGGCUCACCUCAAAUGACUUAGUGGAACAUCCCACAUCAGUGUUAGACGUAAUAAGUUUCGUCUCUCCUUGUGGUGAUGACUGCUCAAAACCUGCCAUCGCGCACCUUUUGACUUUGACCUGAAAUCAGGUAGGGCUACCCGCUGAACUUAAGCAUAUCAAUA
rnacentral:rRNA from 1 species